CUCAGCUCUGGGGACUUCUGUGACAGCAGCUCCUCCGAGAGACAAGCUUUCCCCUUAAGCUGUGACAAUAUGUAGGAAAUAGGCAAGAAGUUACGCAUGGAGGCUUCCAGCUGAACACCAUGCAGCCAGAACUAUGUUCUUGAUGGAGGUUGCUCCAGGGAGCCCUGAGUCCUGAGCACAAGAGAAUCACAC